rnacentral:rRNA from 1 species
AGAGUUUGAUCCUGGCUCAGGAUGAACGCUAGCGGGAGGCUUAACACAUGCAAGUCGAGGGGCAUCACGAGGUAGCAAUACUUUGGUGGCGACCGGCGCACGGGUGAGUAACGCGUAUGCAACCUACCCUGUACAGGGGGAUAGCCCGGAGAAAUUCGGAUUAAUACCCCAUAAAGAUAUCGAGAGGCAUCUUUUGACAUUUAAAGUUUCGACGGUACGGGAUGGGCAUGCGUAACAUUAGCUAGUUGGUAGGGUAACGGCCUACCAAGGCGACGAUGUUUAGGGGUCCUGAGAGGGUGAUCCCCCACACUGGUACUGAGACACGGACCAGACUCCUACGGGAGGCAGCAGUGAGGAAUAUUGGUCAAUGGGCGUAAGCCUGAACCAGCCAUCCCGCGUGAAGGAAGACGGCGCUAUGCGUUGUAAACUUCUUUUCCAGAGGAAUAAAAUUUUGUACGAGUACGGAACUGAAGGUACUCUGGGAAUAAGCAUCGGCUAACUCCGUGCCAGCAGCCGCGGUAAUACGGAGGAUGCGAGCGUUAUCCGGAUUUAUUGGGUUUAAAGGGUGCGUAGGCGGAUUAGUAAGUCAGUGGUGAAAACCUUCAGCUUAACUGGAGAACUGCCAUUGAUACUGUUAGUCUUGAGUACGGUCAAGGUAGGCGGAAUGUGUAAUGUAGCGGUGAAAUGCUUAGAUAUUACACAGGACACCGAUUGCGAAGGCAGCUUACUGGGCCAUUACUGACGCUGAUGCACGAAAGCGUGGGGAGCGAACAGGAUUAGAUACCCUGGUAGUCCACGCCGUAAACGAUGAUCACUCGCUGUUAGCGAUACACAGUUAGCGGCUAAGCAAAUCAUUAAGUGAUCCACCUGGGGAGUACGGCCGCAAGGCUGAAACUCAAAGGAAUUGACGGGGGCCCGCACAAGCGGAGGAACAUGUGGUUUAAUUCGAUGAUACGCGAGGAACCUUACCUGGGCUUAAAUGUAGAGUGCAUGGGGUAGAAAUAUCCCUUUCCUUCGGGACUCUUUGCAAGGUGCUGCAUGGUUGUCGUCAGCUCGUGCCGUGAGGUGUCGGGUUAAGUCCCAUAACGAGCGCAACCCUUAUCGUUAGUUGCCAGCGGGUAAUGCCGGGAACUCUAACGAAACUGCCGGUGUAAACCGUGAGGAAGGUGGGGAUGACGUCAAAUCAGCACGGCCCUUAUGUCCAGGGCUACACACGUGUUACAAUGGCCGGUACAGAGGGCAGCUACCUGGAGACAGGAUGCGAAUCUCCAAAGCCGGUCUCAGUUCGGAUCGGAGUCUGCAACUCGACUCCGUGAAGCUGGAUUCGCUAGUAAUCGCGCAUCAGCCAUGGCGCGGUGAAUACGUUCCCGGGCCUUGUACACACCGCCCGUCAAGCCAUGGAAGUUGGGGGUACCUGAAGUCCGUAACCGUAAGGAGCGGCCUAGGGUAAAACUAGUGACAGGGGCUAAGUCGAAACAAGGUA